rnacentral:rRNA from 1 species
GUAGGGGGCGAGCGUUGUCCGGAUUUAUUGGGCGUAAAGAGCUCGUAGGCGGCUCAGUAAGUCAGGUGUGAAAACUCCAGGCUCAACCUGGAGACGCCACCUGAUACUGCUGUGGCUAGAGUCCGGUAGGGGAGCAUGGAAUUCCUGGUGUAGCGGUGAAAUGCGCAGAUAUCAGGAGGAACACCAGUGGCGAAGGCGGUGCUCUGGGCCGGUACUGACGCUGAGGAGCGAAAGCGUGGGGAGCAAACAGGAUUAGAUACCCUGGUAGUCCACGCCGUAAACGUUGGGCACUAGGUGUGGGGUCUUAUCAACGGACUCCGUGCCGCAGCUAACGCAUUAAGUGCCCCGCCUGGGGAGUACGGCCGCAAGGCUA